CUUUGCCGACUCUUUUAUUUAUUUAUUUAUUUAUUUAUUUGUUUGUUUAUUUUUUGAGACGGAGUUUCGCUCUUGUUACCCAGGCUGGAGUGCAAUGGCGCGAUCUUGGCUCAUCGCAACCUCCGCCUCCUGGGUUCAAGCAAUUCUCCUGCCUCAGCCUCCCGAGUAGCUGGGAUUACAGGCACGCGCCACCGUGCCCAGCUAAUUUUUUUGUGUUUUUAGUAGAGACGGGGUUUCACCAUGUUGACCAGGAUGGUCUCGAUCUCUUGACCUCGUGAUCCACCCUCCUCGGCCUCCCAAAGUGCUGGGAUUACAGGCGUGAGCCGCCGCACCCGGCCGGCUUUGCUGACUCUUAAACGGCAAGUAUCCAGAUUUCCCCAGAAGGUCAUCUAGCACAAGUCUGAGAAAUAUUUCACUGACGUUUCAGAUUCUAUGAAGCACAGCAAGUUCCCAAGGGAAGAACAUCAGAGGGCACAUGGCUGACCGUAAUGAACUGGUCCUCCAUUCACGGCGGUCAGCUCUUUUGCGCUUGUCAAGUACGCACAUACUGAAGCUCUGGACACUUUUUUUGAUCUUUGGUGUGCUCUGUUGGGACAAGAAAGACCCCCACAAGAUGUGAUGGGGAGUUGAAGGAGGUAUAUCUUUCCGUCAACGAAAUGGGUGGGACUUUGUAAAAUAUUUGAAGAACUUUAUUCUGUGCCAAAUAAUAAGUGGCUAAUGGCCCAUGACACAGCUCCAGGACAUCCUGAGAACAUGUGCCCAAGGUGGCCCAUCUACAGCUGCUUGGUUUUAACAGUUUAGGACGACAUAAGACACCAAUCAAUACAUGUAAAAUAUAUAUUGGAUCCCUCUGGAAAGGCGGAACUGGAAGGAGGGGAGCCGGACUUUCCAGGUCAGAUUUUCAAGCCGAAACAAAACCCAUGGAACACACCUUCCACUACCCUCACAGCUAUAUUUGAUGCAGCAGAAAAUCCUGUCGACUUUUAUCUCUGAGACCCAUCCAGAAUCUCACCACAUCUUCCCUUUACUGCAAUCCCUACGGCCCAGCCCUACCGUAACUCAAGGGGUCUCCUCAGAGGUCCCUUGUCCUAGUUUAACAACCUGUUUUCGGCCGGGCGCGGUGGCUCACGCCUGUAAUCCCAGCACUUUGGGAGGCCGAGGCGGGCGAAUCACGAGGUCAGGAGUUCGAGACCAGCUUGGCCAAGAUGGUGAAAUCCCCGUCUCUACUAAAAAAUACAAAAAUUAGCCGGGCGCGGUGACGGGCACCUGUAAUACCAGCUACACGGAAGGCUGAGGCAGGAGAAUCGCUUGAACCCGGGAGGUUUGAGCCGGGAUCGCACCAUUGCACUCCAGCCAGGGCAACAGAGCAAGACUCCGUCUCAAAAAAAAAAAAAAAAAAUCUACUUCUGCGCAUAACGCUUCCUGCACAGCCUUCUCUGGCUUUCAGCGGCUCCGCUGCCUUCCCGGGAGAGACUCUGCCUCUCCCUCCGCUCCGUGGGGACACAGACGCUCGGGCUCCCCAGUGCCACCCACUCUGCAGCGCCUCCAAGCCUCGCACGUGCCGGUCCCGGACCGGGGCUACCCCACCUCCAAGCACCGUGGACACCGGUACCCCACACAAGAACGCCCCUCUCUUUGGGACACAGGGGCCUGACCUGAAGGGCCCCUCCCCGGGGCCUCAACACUCGGAGGAGGGGUCGGGGCGGGGCGCCCUGGGACGCGGCACUCACCUCAAUCAGGUUCAUCCGCUCGGCCUCCGCCAGCACAGCCAGGGAGGAGCGGGGCGGGAGCGGCGGCGACCUGGGAGCUGACAGAGCCCACCGGCGCCCGCAACCGAUUCAGCCGAGCCUCACUCUAGCUUCUGUACAACGGGGGAAACCUUUUCUCGCGUCUUCUCGCUCUUCCACCUCAGGCUCGACUCAGCUGAAAAGGGUGAACCGGUCCUAACGCAACCAUCUUCGUAUCUGCACGAGGGACGUCGCAGGAAGUCCCGCCCUCACGCAUUGAGAACCCAUGGAGACGUCUCUCCGCUGUGACUUCAUUGGCUACACUCGCUGCUUGUGUCCGCCGCAGUGUCUUCUGGGUCGUGUAGUUACCAGGCUGCUGCCUGCCCCGCCUCUGAACCUAAGUAACUAGCCUUCUGUUUGAAAGCCAGGAGGAUCCUCCCGAGGCGUUGAGAAAUGCAGUUCCGGGGCUCCAAGGAAGUGAGAGGGCUUCACUGGCUUUUAAACGGCAAGUAGCCAGAUUGUCCCGGAAGGCGGUCUAGAAAUGUCAGAGAAAUGUUUCAGAGACCUGUCCUUUCGGAUUCUGUAAAGCACAUCAAGUUCCCAAAGGACGACACCCGAAGGAACACGGGCAUCCGUAAUGAACUGGUCUUCCACGCAUAGCGAUCAGCUCUUUUGUGCUUGGCAAGUACAGACCGAAGCUCUGGAGACCGUUUUGUGAUCUUCAGUGUGUUCUGCUGAGACAAGAAAAGACCCAAACGUGGCAUGAUGCGGAGUUUGAGGAGAAGUAUCUUUCCUUUCUGAAUAAUCAGUGAUUGUCUUUCAGCCCAUCCAGCGACGCUUUAUUCACAUGAUACUUAUUACUUCGUAUCUGAGAUAGUUUCCACUUAUCCUAAGAAACUGAAACCUAACUGAAAAGGAAGAGCGAUUUAUGUACCAUUAUCUGCCGGGAUAGUGUGUGGCCUUCUACCAGCCAAACCCCUGAGAUAAAGGUUUGGGAAUGCAUGAUCUCAUCUACUUACUGGAAAGUGAUUUAUCACUUCAUCUGAAAUUGUAUCAACAGUGUCUGCACAGGGAGUUAAAAUCGUCUCUGAAUAACUGUUAUGAAAUGGCUGUUACUGACACUAUUAAUGAUGAUUAUGUAGUUAGCCAAAGAGUGGUUGCAGUGGGCUCUGUGGGCCAGCCACUAGACCCAGAAGAGGAUGGCAUCACUGCCUCAUCACCAUCACACCUGCUACACCAGCAGCCCAGGGAUUCAAGGGUGCACUCACAUGCUUGGUACACUGCUAUCACAACACGCAUCUAAGAGAGCCAAUAAGAAGCCCAAGAAUCAGCCUGCUUGGAACUGCCAACACAGGUACCAACAUUCACCCCCACAAAGCACAAGGAUAGACAUACUUAGCUCACCACCAGUACUGCUGAAGCCUGAAGGCAAGCUCAUCUGGCAUUCCUGUUCCCAGCACAACUUUACCAAAACCUCCACUAAUAACUAACACUGUAGGCCGGGUGCGGUGGCUCACGCCUGUAAUCCCAGCACUUUGGCAGGCCGAGGCGGGUGGAUCACGAGGUCAAGAGAUCGAGACCAUCCUGGUCAAUGUGGUGAAACCCAGUCUCUACUAAAAAUACAAAAAUUAGCUGGGCAUGGUGGUGCACGCCUGUAGUUGUAGCUACUCGGGAGGCUGAGGCAGGAGAAUUGCUUGAACCCAGGAGGCGGAGGUUGCGGUGAGCCAAGAUCACGCCAUUGCACUCUAGCCUGGGUAACAAGAGCGAAACUCCGUCUCAAUAAAUAAAUAAAUAAAUAAAUAACAGUAUGCACCCUGACACACUUGAGAAAACCACAUGAACUGUUUAUAGCCAAGGAAAUCAUACAAAAACUUUACUGCUGCAUGCACUCAGAAGUAAAGCUAAAGUGCCCUACUCAACUAAGACCAUUGACACAUCUUCAAAACACCCACAAACAAAAGUAAAUUCAAAAAUAGAAGAUAAACUAUUAUAGUACGCAUACAAAAAAAUCAAUGUAAAAACACAGGAAACAGAAAAGCAAGAAACCCUGAAACUCCCCCAAAAUUACAAUACUUUUCCAGCCAUAGAUCUUAACCAAAAACCCCCCCCCAAAAUUCCCACCAUAUCAGAUAAAGAAUUGAAAACAUUGAUUUUAAAGAAGCUCAACAUGACACAAGAGAAAUAUGAAAACCAAUGCAAAUAACUCAGAUAAACAAUUCAGGAUUUGCUUCCUGUCACGGGGGCAGCCGCCUGGGGUUGGUGGAAGGUGGGACAAUGUUACAGCUCCUUUCACAAUUUGCCAUUUGGUGGUUUCUGGGUUAUUGUCCCAUGACCAAAAAGAAUGACAUUUUGUAAACACUAGAGAGUGAGCAAGGCAGGUGACUUUGUUGAGUGGCAGAAAAGCUCUCAACAACAGGAGGGGAACCAAAAGUGGGUAGCCCAAUGUGUGGCUGGGUCCAGGGUUUUUAUGGGCUCAGAAUGGGGACUGCGUACUGAUUGGUCCAUGGGUGGGCCUGAUAAAAGCACCAUUCGAUUGGCUAAAAGGCAUUGAGAAGUUCUCACUCCAGUCAUGGAUGCUACUUGGAAAUGGCAGCCAGUUUUCAGGCUUUAGUCUUUGGCUUAAAGUUUGGGUUUCACCAGGGACCUGUCCUUAGUCUGCCUAGGAAUUUAUCUGCCUCCUACCACUAUCAGUGAAAUAACCAAUACUUUCUCCUGAUAAAAGGAAAUUUCUGCCAUCUGCCUGCCAAAGCCAGUCCACACCUUCAGUGCAAGGCUGAUGUCUACGCCCAGAUCAGUCAUAGGAGAGGAGGUGAGGCCCCCAAAGUGUUCAAAUGACUAGUGAAUUCUUCAAAUAGAGAAUUCAUGAUGCCAUAACUGCAUUUUAAUGGGACCAAAGUGCUACACACCAUGACUUUUUGCCAGUUGGUAGAAAAGAGAUGACUUUUUUUUUUUUUUUUUUUUUUUUAGGCAGUCUCACUCUGUCACCAGGCACCAGGCUGGAGUACAGAGUGCGAUCUCAGCUCGCUGCAACCUCCACCUCCUGAGUUCAAGCAAUUCUGCCUCAGCCUCCCAAGUAGCUGGAACUACAGGCACGUGCCACCACACCCAGCUAAUUUUUUUUUGUUUUUUACUAGAGGCGGGUUUCGCCAUGUUGGCCUGGAUGGUCUCAAUCUCUUGACCUCAUGAUCCGCCCACCUCGGCCUCCCAAAGUGCUGGGAUUACAGGUGUGAGCCACUGCGCCUGGGCAAGAAAUGACUUUUUGAAUAGUGUUGGCAGAGGCAUAACUCUGGCAAAGGCCCCAGACAAGUUGAAAAGUGCAACACAGCUCACAAAAUCUUCCCAUGUAUCUGGCAGUAUAGAUAUAUGGUGGAUAUCCCUAGUGAGGCUAUUUAGAUGUAUGAAGUUCAAUUGCUGGCUCUCUCCCUAAAAAGCUAAUAUCCAAAGCAUUGCUCUACUGGGUUAUUACGUUAACAAGAAACGAUCACACUGCCUUCACUUCUUUUCCUAGAGUGAACCUGCUGGCACAGAAUGAGGUUAGGCUAAUGGCUAAAGACUUUCCAACAUUCACUAGACUCUUAAUACCUUUCUGGGUUCUUUUGAUAGCAGGAAACAACCUAAUGUCACUUGGAUAAACAAAAAGCAGAAACAUUUAUUACCUAUAGCUAAAAAUGAGAGAACCUGGAUAGGGUCCCACAGAGGGUUGCAUCUGAGACAGAGUAACAGCAACCUGAGGCUGCAGGGGAUAACUUAGGUAAGACAAGGGGAUUGCAUUGGCUAUGUUUUCCAUGCUCUCCAUGGAUGGGCUAAUUUGAAUAAUUUCAGCUGGAAUAUAGCAGUCUGAAGUGUGAAAGCCCACUAGCCUUGUCCUCAAAACUGAGUCUCACACACACCUAAAAUGUGUGGUACUGACAUACAGACAGACAUAUGACCAACAGAAUGGACAAUCCACAUAUAAAGCACGCGUAUAUAGACAGAUGAUCUUGACGAGUGCCAAGACUACUCAAUGAAUAUUUUUUUCAACAAAUAGUGCUUGGAAAACUGCAUGGCCACAUUAGGUGGACUUCUGCCUUAAACCACAUGCAAAAAUGAAUCCCACAUAAAGAUCUAAAUGUAGCCAGAAUCUAAAUGCCAAGAUGGAAGAUCUAAAUGUAGCCAGUGCAUUACAGCUCAUGCCUGUAAUCCCGGCACUUUGGGAGGCCGAGGCAGGCGGAUCACUUAAGGCCAGAGGUUUAAGACCAGUCUGGCCAACAUGGCAAAAACCCAUCUCUACUAAAAAUACAAAAACUAGCCAGGUGUGGUGGCACGCAUUUGUAAUCCCAGCUACUCGGGAGGCUAAGGUGGGACAAUGGCUUGAACCUGGGAACCUGGGAGGUGGAGACUGCAGAGUUGAGAUUGCACCACUGCACUCCAACCCGGGUGACAGAGGAAGACUCUGUCUCCAAGAACAAAAAC